rnacentral:rRNA from 1 species
UACGUAGGGCGCAAGCGUUGUCCGGAAUUAUUGGGCGUAAAGAGCUCGUAGGCGGUCUGUCGCGUCGGCUGUGAAAACCCGAGGCUCAACCUCGGGCCUGCAGUCGAUACGGGCAGACUAGAGUGCUGUAGGGGAGACUGGAAUUCCUGGUGUAGCGGUGAAAUGCGCAGAUAUCAGGAGGAACACCGGUGGCGAAGGCGGGUCUUUGGGCAGUAACUGACGCUGAGGAGCGAAAGCGUGGGGAGCAAACAGG